rnacentral:rRNA from 1 species
CUACAUGAAGCUGGAAUCGCUAGUAAUCGCAGAUCAGAAUGCUGCGGUGAAUACGUUCCCGGGUCUUGUACACACCGCCCGUCACACCAUGGGAGCCGGGAAUGCCCGAAGUCGGUGACCCAACCGUAAGGAGGGAGCCGCCGAAGGCAGGCCUGGUAACUGGGGUGAAGUCGUAACAAGGUACC